ACCCGAGGAACUGUGUACAAUAGGAACCUCUGAAAGACAGUGUUAUACAAUGGGGACUAUUUGACCACAAUCAGAUACCUCUGCACAGUGGGUGCUGUUUGACCCAGGUCACAGCACGAGAGCCUUCCAGAAACUGGGAGGAAGAAAGAAAAGGUGGACGAUGACAGCCUACAAGAACAACCAGAAACACCUGAGAUACAAAGACUGAACAGUGAGAAGUGAUUGUCCCAGCAAUCUGGAUGAUGGGAAGACAGACACUUUAGCUCAGCUUAGCAUACUGAGAACGAGAAGGAUCUGACAUUAUCAACCACUGAAGAUUAAUCCAGAGAAUUGCUCAAGUUGGUUGAUGACGGUGCGACUAAUUGUGAUGAAUUUCUUGGUGACGUUUUUUUUUUUUGAGAACAAAACCAAACAUAACAACCAAAUUGUCACCCUAUCGACUACUGUAUGGCUUUGAGGCAAGAUUCCCAGAUCAAAUCUCAGACAACUACAUGCCAACAGAUUUUGAGGAACUUGAUGAAUAAUACUACAAAGAGUACAUCAUGAAAAUUGAAGCUAGAUGUGAUGCUGAAACUAAACUGACUAUUAAUAAUAUUUCAAAAGCACAAGAAAAGCAACAAAGACAGUAUGCCAAACUAAGACUCGUAAACAUGGGGAAAUAACAUUCAAGGUUGGUGACACUGUCAUGUUACUGAAUGCGAGAAGGAAAAUAAGAAAAGGGGUACAGCUACAACCUACCUACGUGGGACCAUACAAACUGCCUCUGUAGAAGGCAAAAGAGUUAAAUUAGAAAACAAGUUAAGGAAAGGUUUAGCAAAGUUGUACAGUAUCCCCUAACUAAAAGUAUUUAAAAAGCCUCCAAAAUUAGGUGAGGAAAACAUAUCACAGAGAAAUAUGGAAAAGGAAACUGCUGUGGAUGACACUGUGAAAACCUCAGAGAUCGGAGAAAUGGGAGGGAAUGUAUCUAACAAGCCUCACAACAGUCAAGUGGAGGUCACACACACGGAAAAGGAGGAGUGUGUAGUGUCAGGAGUUUCAAGCAGUCAUCCAGGUGAUUUUGAUGACAUGAUUAUGGAGGAUGAUGAAGACAG